GGUGAACGCUAGCUACAGGCUUAACACAUGCAAGUCGAGGGGUAACGAGAGGAAAGCUUGCUUUCCUUGUCGACGACCGGCGCACGGGUGAGUAACGCGUAUCCAACCUGCCCCCAACUAGGGAAUAACCUUGCGAAAGUAAGACUAAUACCCUAUAAUUUCCUCAGAUGUCAUCUGACGAGGAAUAAAGAUUUAUCGGUUGUGGAUGGGGAUGCGUCUGAUUAGCUUGUUGGCGGGGUAACGGCCCACCAAGGCAACGAUCAGUAGGGGUUAUGAGAGGAAGGUCCCCCACAUUGGAACUGAUACACGGUCCAAACUCCUACGGGAGGCAGCAGUGAGGAAUAUUGGUCAAUGGGCGGAAGCCUGAACCAGCCAAGUAGCGUGCAGGAUGACGGCCCUAUGGGUUGUAAACUGCUUUUAUACAGGAAUAAAGUUAGCCACGUGUGGUUAUUUGUAGGUACUGUAUGAAUAAGGACCGGCUAAUUCCGUGCCAGCCGCCGCCGUAA
rnacentral:rRNA from 1 species